rnacentral:rRNA from 1 species
UCGCAAAUUACCCACUCUCAGCACGAGGAGGUAGUGACGAAAAAUAACGAGGCGGUUCUCUACGAGGCCCGCCAUCGGAAUGGGUACAAUUUAAAUCCUUUAACGAGGAUCUAUUGGAGGGCAAGUCUGGUGCCAGCAGCCGCGGUAAUUCCAGCUCCAAUAGCGUAUAUUAAAGUUGUUGCGGUUAAAAAGCUCGUAGUUGGAUCUGCGGCCGAGGAGGGCGGUCCCCCGUUGGGUGGCUACUGCCUUUCCUGGCCUAACUCUCUGGUUUUCCUCUGGUGCUCUUGACUGAGUGCCUCUGGUGGCCAGAACGUUUACUUUGAAAAAAUUAGAGUGCUCAAAGCAGGCAUACUGCCUGAAUAGUGGUGCAUGGAAUAAUGAAAUAGGAUAUUGGUUCUGUUUUAUUGGUUCGGAGCUAAUAUAAUGAUUGAAGGGGACAGACGGGGGCAUUCGUAUUGCGACGUUAGAGGUGAAAUUCUUGGAUCGUCGCAAGACGGACUACUGCGAAAGCAUUUGCCAAGAAUGUUUUCAUCAAUCAAGAACGAAAGUCUGAGGUUCGAAGGCGAUCAGAUACCGCCCUAGUUCAGACCGUAAACGAUGCCAACUAGCGAUCCGAGGGCGUUAAUUUAUGACUCCUCGGGAAGCUUCCGGGAAACCAAAGUUUUUGGGUUCCGGGGGAAGUAUGGUUGCAAAGCUGAAACUUAAAGGAAUUGACGGAAGGGCACCACCAGGAGUGGAGCCUGCGGCUUAAUUUGACUA